GGGUUGUGAGGUUAAGCGACUAAGCGUACACGGUGGAUGCCUAGGCAGUCAGAGGCGAUGAAGGGCGUGCUAAUCUGCGAAAAGCGUCGGUAAGCUGAUAUGAAGCGUUAUAACCGACGAUACCCGAAUGGGGAAACCCAGUGCAAUACGUUGCACUAUCGUUAGAUGAAUACAUAGUCUAACGAGGCGGAACCGGGGGAACUGAAACAUCUAAGUACCCCGAGGAAAAGAAAUCAACCGAGAUUCCCCCAGUAGCGGCGAGCGAACGGGGAGGAGCCCAGAGUCUGAAUCAGUUUGUGUGUUAGUGGAAGCGUCUGGAAAGUCGCACGGUACAGGGUGAUAGUCCCGUACACCAAAAUGCACAGGCUGUGAACUCGAUGAGUAGGGCGGGACACGUGACAUCCUGUCUGAAUAUGGGGGACCAUCCUCCAAGGCUAAAUACUCCUGACUGACCGAUAGUGAACCAGUACCGUGAGGGAAAGGCGAAAAGAACCCCGGCGAGGGGAGUGAAAUAGAACCUGAAACCGUGUACGUACAAGCAGUGGGAGCACCUUCGUGGUGUGACUGCGUACCUUUUGUAUAAUGGGUCAGCGACUUAUAUUUUGUAGCAAGGUUAACCGAAUAGGGGAGCCGUAGGGAAACCGAGUCUUAACUGGGCGUCUAGUUGCAAGGUAUAGACCCGAAACCCGGUGAUCUAGCCAUGGGCAGGUUGAAGGUUGGGUAACACUAACUGGAGGACCGAACCGACUAAUGUUGAAAAAUUAGCGGAUGACUUGUGGCUGGGGGUGAAAGGCCAAUCAAACCGGGAGAUAGCUGGUUCUCCCCGAAAGCUAUUUAGGUAGCGCCUCGUGAACUCAUCUUCGGGGGUAGAGCACUGUUUCGGCUAGGGGGCCAUCCCGGCUUACCAAACCGAUGCAAACUCCGAAUACCGAAGAAUGUUAUCACGGGAGACACACGGCGGGUGCUAACGUCCGUCGUGAAGAGGGAAACAACCCAGACCGCCAGCUAAGGUCCCAAAGUCAUGGUUAAGUGGGAAACGAUGUGGGAAGGCACAGACAGCCAGGAUGUUGGCUUAGAAGCAGCCAUCAUUUAAAGAAAGCGUAAUAGCUCACUGGUCGAGUCGGCCUGCGCGGAAGAUGUAACGGGGCUAAACCAUGCACCGAAGCUGCGGCAGCGACACUUAGGUGUUGUUGGGUAGGGGAGCGUUCUGUAAGCCGUUGAAGGUGACCUGUGAGGGUUGCUGGAGGUAUCAGAAGUGCGAAUGCUGACAUAAGUAACGAUAAUGCGGGUGAAAAACCCGCACGCCGGAAGACCAAGGGUUCCUGUCCAACGUUAAUCGGGGCAGGGUGAGUCGACCCCUAAGGCGAGGCUGAAAAGCGUAGUCGAUGGGAAACAGGUUAAUAUUCCUGUACUUGGUGUUACUGCGAAGGGGGGACGGAGAAGGCUAGGCUGGCCGGGCGACGGUUGUCCCGGUUUAAGCGUGUAGGGGGAGUGACCAGGUAAAUCCGGUUGCUUAUCAACCCUGAGGCGUGAUGACGAUGCACCACGGUGCAGAAGCAGUUGAUGCCAUGCUUCCAGGAAAAGCCUCUAAGCAUCAGGUAACAUUAAAUCGUACCCCAAACCGACACAGGUGGUCAGGUAGAGAAUACUCAGGCGCUUGAGAGAACUCGGGUGAAGGAACUAGGCAAAAUGGUGCCGUAACUUCGGGAGAAGGCACGCUGGCGUUAGGUGAAAGGACUAGCUCCUGGAGCUGAAGCCAGUCGCAGAUACCAGCUGGCUGCAACUGUUUAAUAAAAACACAGCACUGUGCAAACACGAAAGUGGACGUAUACGGUGUGACGCCUGCCCGGUGCUGGAAGGUUAAUUGAUGGGGUCAGCCGCAAGGCGAAGCUCUUGAUCGAAGCCCCAGUAAACGGCGGCCGUAACUAUAACGGUCCUAAGGUAGCGAAAUUCCUUGUCGGGUAAGUUCCGACCUGCACGAAUGGCGUAAUGAUGGCCAGGCUGUCUCCACCCGAGACUCAGUGAAAUUGAACUCGCUGUGAAGAUGCAGUGUACCCGCGGCAAGACGGAAAGACCCCGUGAACCUUUACUAUAGCUUGACACUGAACAUUGAGCCUUGAUGUGUAGGAUAGGUGGGAGGCCUUGAAGUGUGGACGCCAGUCUGCAUGGAGCCAACCUUGAAAUACCACCCUUUAAUGUUUGAUGUUCUAACUCGGCCCCAUGAUCUGGGGUGAGGACAGUGUCUGGUGGGUAGUUUGACUGGGGCGGUCUCCUCCCAAAGAGUAACGGAGGAGCACGAAGGUUAGCUAAUCACGGUCGGACAUCGUGAGGUUAGUGCAAAGGCAUAAGCUAGCUUGACUGCGAGAGUGACGGCUCGAGCAGGUACGAAAGUAGGUCUUAGUGAUCCGGUGGUUCUGAAUGGAAGGGCCAUCGCUCAACGGAUAAAAGGUACUCCGGGGAUAACAGGCUGAUACCGCCCAAGAGUUCAUAUCGACGGCGGUGUUUGGCACCUCGAUGUCGGCUCAUCACAUCCUGGGGCUGAAGUAGGUCCCAAGGGUAUGGCUGUUCGCCAUUUAAAGUGGUACGCGAGCUGGGUUUAGAACGUCGUGAGACAGUUCGGUCCCUAUCUGCCGUGGGCGUUGGAAGAUUGAGAGGGGCUGCUCCUAGUACGAGAGGACCGGAGUGGACGAAUCACUGGUGUUCGGGUUGUCAUGCCAAUGGCAUUGCCCGGUAGCUAAAUUCGGAAGAGAUAACCGCUGAAAGCAUCUAAGCGGGAAACUUGCCUCGAGAUGAGUCUUCCCUGGGGCUUAAAGCCCCCUGAAGGAACGUUAAAGACUAUGACGUUGAUAGGCUGGGUGUGUAAGUGCAGCGAUGUAUUGAGCUAACCAGUACUAAUGAUCCGUGAGGCUUAACCUUACAACACCGAAGGUGUUU
rnacentral:rRNA from 1 species